CCGUGCUAGAUGGGGAGGUAGCGGUGCCUUGUAACCUGCAAUCCGCUAUAGCAGGAUCGAAUUCCUAGCAGAGGCAUUUCUAUCGUGAGGUCUGCCCCAAGAAAGUGGCGUUGACGAUUGGGUCCUACGCAACGGGAACUCAUGAACCCCGUCAGGUCCGGAAGGAAGCAGCGGUAAGUGAAACUUUUCGUGUGCCGUAGGGUUGCCUGGUCCGAGUUAACUACUUGGGUAACGCUUGGGAUAGGAUGUCGAAGCUAGGUGCACGG
rnacentral:SRP_RNA from 1 species